rnacentral:rRNA from 1 species
GAUGAACGCUGGCGGCGUGCCUAAUACAUGCAAGUCGAGCGAACGGACGAGAAGCUUGCUUUUCUGAUGUUAGCGGCGGACGGGUGAGUAACACGUGGAUAACCUACCUAUAAGACUGGGAUAACUUCGGGAAACCGGAGCUAAUACCGGAUAAUAUUUUGAACCGCAUGGUUCAAAAGUGAAAGACGGUCUUGCUGUCACUUAUAGAUGGAUCCGCGCUGCAUUAGCUAGUUGGUAAGGUAACGGCUUACCAAGGCAACGAUGCAUAGCCGACCUGAGAGGGUGAGCGGCCACGAGAGCAAAGACACGGGAACAAGACUCCGAGGGGAGGAGGCAGGGGGGAGUCUUCGAGAAGGGGGGAAAGCGGGGGGGGACACAGCCGCGUGAGGGAUGAGGGUCUUGGUAUCGAAAAACUCUUUUAUUGGGAAAAAACAUAUGUGAAAGAAAUGGUGCACUUCUUGAGGGUCCCUAAUAAAAAAGCCCGGGCAAACUACGUC